rnacentral:rRNA from 1 species
GACGGGGGCCCGCACAAGCGGUGGAGCAUGUGGUUUAAUUCGAUGCAACGCGAAGAACCUUACCUGGUCUUGACAUCCACGGAAGUUUUCAGAGAUGAGAAUGUGCCUUCGGGAACCGUGAGACAGGUGCUGCAUGGCUGUCGUCAGCUCGUGUUGUGAAAUGUUGGGUUAAGUCCCGCAACGAGCGCAACCCUUAUCCUUUGUUGCCAGCGGUCCGGCCGGGAACUCAAAGGAGACUGCCAGUGAUAAACUGGAGGAAGGUGGGAUGACGUCAAGUCAUCAUGGCCCUUACGACCAGGGCUACACACGUGCUACAAUGGCGCAUACAAAGAGAAGCGACCUCGCGAGAGCAAGCGGACCUCAUAAAGUGCGUCGUAGUCCGGAUUGGAGUCUGCAACUCGACUCCAUGAAGUCGGAAUCGCUAGUAAUCGUGGAUCAGAAUGCCACGGUGAAUACGUUCCCGGGCCUU